UAGGGAAUCUUCCGCAAUGGGCGAAAGCUUGACGGAGCAACGCCGCGUGAGUGAUGAAGGUCUUCGGAUCGUAAAACUCUGUUAUUAGGGAAGAACAAAUGUGUAAGUAACUAUGCACGUCUUGACGGUACCUAAUCAGAAAGCCACGGCUAACUACGUGCCAGCAGCCGCGGUAAUACGUAGGUGGCAAGCGUUAUCCGGAUUUAUUGGGCGUAAAGCGCGCGUAGGCGGUUUUUUAAGUCUGAUGUGAAAGCCCACGGCUCAACCGUGGGGGGUCAUUGGAAACUGGAAAAACUUGAGUGCAGAAGAGGAAAGUGGAAUUCCAUGUGUAGCGGUGAAAUGCGCAGAGAUAUGGAGGAACACCAGUGGCGAAGGCGACUUUCUGGUCUGUAACUGACGCUGAUGUGCGAAAGCGUGGGGAUCAAACAGGAUUAGAUACCCUGGUAGUCCACGCCGUAAACGAUGAGUGCUAAGUGUUAGGGGGUUUCCGCCCCUUAGUGCUGCAGCUAACGCAUUAAGCACUCCGCCUGGGGAGUACGACCGCAAGGUUGAAACUCAAAGGAAUUGACGGGGUCAUAGCUGUUUCCUG
rnacentral:rRNA from 1 species